GGGGAAUAUAGGGCAAUGGAAGAAAGUCGGACCCAGCAACGCGGCGAAAAGGAAGAAGGCUUACGGGUUGUAAACUUCUUUUAAGGGGGAAGAGUAGAAGACGGUACCCCUGGAAUAAGCCACGGUUAACUACGUGCCAGCAGCCGCGGUAAAACGUAGGUGGCAAGCGUUGUCCGGAUUUACUGGGUGUAAAGGGCGUGUAGCCGGGAAGGCAAGUCAGAUGUGAAAUCUGGAGGCUCAACCUCCAAACUGCAUUUGAAACUGCUUUUCUUGAGUGUCGGAGAGGUAAUCGGAAUUCCUUGUGUAGCGGUGAAAUGCGUAGAUAUAAGGAAGAACACCAGUGGCGAAGGCGGAUUACUGGACGAUAACUGACGGUGAGGCGCGAAAGCGUGGGGAGCAAACA
rnacentral:rRNA from 1 species